UGCGGAAUUUUAGAUAAUGGAGGGAACUCUGAUCUAGCGACGCCGCGUGCAGGAAGAAGGUCUUCGGAUUGUAAACUGCUGUGGUAAGGGAAAAAUGCUAUGUAGAGUGGAAAGCUACAUAGAGGGAUGGUACCUUACUAGACAGCCCCGGCUAACUACGUGCCAGCAGCCGCGGUAAUACGUAGGGGGCGAGCGUUACCCGGAAUCACUGGGCGUAAAGGGAGCGUAGGUGGCCUAACAUGUCAACUGUGAAAACCCGGAGCUCAACUCCGGACCUGCAGUUGAAACUGGUAGGCUUGAGGACGGUGGAGGAAGACGGAACUGCCAGUGUAGGGGUAAAAUCCUUAGAUAUUGGCAGGAACGCCGGUGACGAAGGUGGUUUUCUGGGCCGGUUCUGACACUGAUGCUCGAAAGCCAGGGGAGCGAACGG
rnacentral:rRNA from 1 species